GUCGGCCCAGCUGGGCCCGGCAAUGUACUCGUAAUGCGUAGGUCUCGGGUUCGAAUCCCGAAGGCGGCUCCA
rnacentral:tRNA from 1 species